rnacentral:other from 1 species
GCAGCCAAGGAGUGAGGCACCCUCAGGAAGAGGUCGGUAAAUCAGGAUGAUUUGUCGAGCAGGGAGUGUAAAGGGAACAUCGGAUGGAUCCGAUAAAGUAAGUAGGAUACUUGCUGGUAAGGAUGACAUAUAGGGAUCGCUUCAGGAUGAGGCAACGGACACCUCCAGGAUGGAGAUGGGAGUCGUAACGGGAUGUUGCGACGGGUCAAGGCGAGACCAAUGGACUUAUCCAGGACGGAUAUGCAAAGGAAGACGCUGAAGGACGCAGCUUGAUCACGGAAUGAUGCAGGGAGCACCAUAGUAGCGGGAAUGCUGCAUUAAAGACCAAGGGCGCGACGAAAGUCGCGCCCGUUCUUUUUUUG